AUGGGAUUGUAAAUAGAAAUGCUUCUUAUAGAAUUCUUGACAAGAUAAAGUUCAGAAACCUUUGUGGUAUUGUUGAUACCGGAGGAGAGCCUGAUCUAGGUUGUGAAUAUACUGAAGCUGAAAAUGAAACACCUUUGGAUUGUCGUAGGUAUGAUUCUGGAAUAACCCAUAUACACAAAGAAGGAUAGCUGGUUUGAAAAAUGAAGUUUGGUUAAAUAAUGGAAGCAACUAUGUUGUUGACCAGAAAGACCAUAACAAACAGUCUGGUUUCUUCUCAGACUGAUUUUCUACAUUCAAUUUUUGGUUGAUCCUAGCCUUAAAUUAGCAGUAAAGAUUAUAGCCUGGCACAAGAUAUAGCAGAAGUGUAUAUACUGUUAGCGCUGUUAUAUUUUAAUUACAUCUGCACCUGCAUUGCCUAGAGGAGCACUGAAGCUGAAAAACCCAUCCUGGAAGUGGUUACCCCUUAAGUUACACGAGGAAGAAGUUCUGUGUAUUGAAUGCAUGCUGCAGUUGGGUGGUAGUGUAGCCUGUGGAUGUCCUUUCCCUGCUCCACAACUGUAGUAACACCAAAGUGGAGGUUGACUUGAGACCCGCUCCUACGUGAUCUUCAUCACAUAGAUGACCUCUAGAGUGGCUUUGGAAGAGAUCUUUAUAGGAAUAAGUUCUCUGGUUUUUAUGUAGUAGCACUGAAACAGAGUGGUGUCCUUGCAGAAGCGAAGAUCUGUCUUAUGCAAGGCCCUGCAGACAGCACUGGGGGGCCAGGGACUUGGGGGGGCUGGUCAUUUCUGUGUGGGACAUGCUUCCUCAUUAUCAAGCAGUACAUGUUGGUAGAGGAGCCUUACCUUGCUCCACCAUGAGGAUUUAAGAACAAUUAAGUUGCUAUGCAGUUUUGCUGUUUUCUACCUGAUAAGCGUAGGAAAAGAAAAUGCAAAUAGUGGAGGGCCUGAGAAGGGGUCAGCUCCCAAGUCCUGCAAAUUCCAGGCAUUUGGAGAUAGGAGACUGGAAUCCCUUUCUCUUGGUACUUCAGCAUGGUGAAUGAGGGCUUGGUUUCCAGCCAGGGGUGCUUGGGUUGUUAGGAGCUGCCCUGGGGAUGGAUGGAGAAAGAGGGUGGGGUUCCCAGACAGAGCACGGGGAGGCGGGGAGCCAGACAACAGGAGGAAAUGAAAAGGGGAGACUGAGCGAACAGAGGAUCCAGCUGGUGCCACGCUACAGGGCCAUGGCCCAGCCCAGAGCCUGGCAGGAGCAGGACUGUUUGCGGGAGGUGACGCUCUCCACCCAAAGGCUGCGCGUGCUGCCUCCAGCAGUCCUCAGUAACCCCAGCCUGGAAAGCCUUGACCUCGACAGGAACAAACUCAGGAGCAUCACCGGCAUUUCUAAACUUGGCAACCUGAAGAAGCUCAUCGUAUCCAAGAACGAGAUUGUGGACUUUCCCAAUGAAAUCCAGAGCCUGGUCUAUUUAGAGAAGCUUGAACUGAAUCAGAACCAAAUCCGGGUCAUCCCAGAGGGCAUUUUCUGCCAUCUCCCCAGGCUUAAACACUUGCGGCUGAACAACAACCGUCUCAGUGCUCUUCCCAAGGACCUGGCAGCUUGUGGAGGCAGCCUCCAGUACCUCAACAUCUCCAACAACCUGUUCCGAACCUUCCCCCAGCCGGUCCUGCAGCUGACGAACCUACAGGAGCUCCAUGUGCAGAACAAUGCCCUUCGCCAGCUCCCCAGGGAGCUGUUCCAGGGACAAUCCCUGAAAAUGUUCAAGGCCAACGGGAACCCGCUCAGGGAGCCACCCAGUGAGGUGUGUGCAGGUGGUGUCCAGCAGAUCCUGAAUUAUUUCAACCAGCUUCAACAUGGUUCAGGGCAGGAGGACAAGAGGAUCAAGGCCAUGUUCCUGGGGGCCUCGCUGGCUGGGAAAUCUACCAUCUGCAAAAGCCUGAAGCAGAGGCAAGCCAAACUGGUGCCCAAGGAAGAGCGAACAGUUGGGAUAGAGAUCAGUGAGUUUCGGAUUGAGGACUUCACCUUUCUCUUCUGGGACUUUGCUGGCCAGCUGGAGUAUUACAUGACACACCACGUGUUCAUCACGCCACAGGCACUUGUCAUCCUCGUCAUCAACCUUCACAUGUACCAAACUAAUGAUGAUGCUUUCAAGGACCUUGUUGGUUUCUGGAUCAACAACCUGUUCAUGCGAGUCCCAAACUCGGUGGUGCUUCCUGUGGGAACACACGUGGACUGUUGUCAGAAGCAAGAGGUGGAGGAGAAGAGGUCCAACAUCAUGGCCAAGAUCACGGCCAUGCUGGCAGAGAGGAAGAGCAACCUCACUCACUUCAUCAACAAUCUGGAGGAGAGUGAGGAGCCUGAGGUUUAUGUGGACCAGUGGGAGAGGCUGAAGGAGAUGGAGAGUUGCACGUUAACCAUCUUAGACCUGGUUGCUGUCAACUGCACAGAUCACCAUGAUAUCAAAAAGCUCGAAGCCACAAUUCUGGAACAUGUGAGGAACAAUGAGCUAUUCCCUGAAGUUGUCCGUGUGCUGCCACCCGUCUACCGGGAGGUGGAAGCUGCCAUCGUGGAUAUCACCCAGAGUGAGGAGAUGGCAGACCACGGCAUGAUGGACCUCCAGUACCUGCUCAGUGAACUCUCCCAGCGGGAGCGCCUGGCCAACCUGGACAGAGAGCUUCUCCAGGAUAUCUUGCGCUACCUGCACCGCAUCGGCCUUAUUGUGUGGUAUGAAGAAAUCAAGCACCUGGAAAGCACUGUCUUUCUACAGCCCACCUUCCUAAUAACUACGUUCAAGCUCCUCGUGAGGGACCGCCUGGUCCAGCAGCUGGAGAGCAUCUCUGUGGACGCGUUGAUUGCCGAACACGCCACCAUCAGGGACAGGUCCAACUGGGUGUGUGCCUUCAAGUCCAAGGCAAUGCUGUGCCACCAGGCAGUGCGUGCUUUGGUGAAGUACCAGCUCUGUUCGGAAGGGAUGCAGGACAUCUUUGAAGAGAUCAUGGGGGACAAGACCCGCAUGGGGAAAGGGAAGCUCUUUAGCCUCCUGCAGCACUUUGAGCUCUGCCUGGAGGUGAGGCAAGCCAAGGCACUCAAUCCUCUGGCCAGUGAGUUUGUGCCUGGGAAGACAUGGGAGACAACACCCGGCCAAGGCGACUCCUGGUACUUGUUCCCAACCUACCUGAACCAGACUGAAGAGGUCACUAACGUGUGGGGAGGAGAUCACCGUGAUGACCUCCACAUUCGUACCUACUUCUCACCUGAGAUACCUGAGGGCUUCUUCCACAGGUUCCUUGUGAAAGCUUGCUCCUUCUACUCCACGUACUGGGUGGCCAAGGCGACCUGCCUGCUCGUAUGCAAUGGCAAACCUCUGCUGCUCAAAGAGAACAACCAGCGAGCAUACAGCUACCUGGAGCUGCGGUACAGGAAGCCAGAAGGAACAACAGGAUUCCAGUUUGCCUGGGACUUCCUCAUGGCGGUUGUGUUCAUCAUCCAGAAGCUCUCCGAAGAGUGGCCAGGGCUGCACAUGUGCGUGAAGACCCCUUGCCGCACGGACGGCUGUCCCGCAGAGCUCAUCUGGCCAGACAUGGACAGCAAGAUCCCCGUCACAAAGGAAGAUGUUAAAACCUGUGGAACGUGCGGGCAUCGGUUUGGUGCAGAGCUGCUCUUACCCAAAGAGCCACAGCGUGAUCUGACCAGAAGCAGGGAAUUGAAUGGGCUGCACAGAGAUGAAGGGACGUAUCUAGUGACUCUAAGUGGUGAGGAGCUCGUGUCUGGUGGAAAAUGCCAGCUCCCCUCCUGGAAACAGUGCCCAGGCAGCCGGAAGCAGCCCCAGCACAGCCCCCUGUCCACUACUACGUGACCAGCUACGGCACCACCACCUUCGGGCCCAGCAGCAUCCAUGUCACCCGGCAGAACAUCUCCAGUGAGUAACUGCAGGCCAGUGGGGAAGGAGGCUUGCAUGGAAGACAAAAGAAUUGUUUUAAGCUGAAGGAAAGCUGCUUUAAGCAUGCUGAGCUUACAAGUACUACUUGCAUCAUUACUACAUGGCAAUAAAUGCAUAAAUAUA